GACUCGGUGGCGGAUGACCCGCCUCUGCUCUAUAUUCUAAUGAAGUAACCCAAGUACCAUGCAGACGACGCUUGUUCGACUCAGGCCUGAGUCA